ACGGCUAACUCCCCGCCACCCAACCACGGGACUCCCCAAGUCUCGCCUAACUCGCUCCACCAAACAGACAUAAAACAACAGAAAUCACAAUAGCAACAAUUCGGUCCACGGUCCACCUACAAGAUAAUAGAUCAAUCCGGAAUAAGUAGUUAGUCAGAUAUAACUUAAAGCCCCCCCAACCCGCCGCCAAACGCCAGCUGGCACAACACAAAGCUGAGAAGGAACCAGAAUACCAUAACGCACGCAGUAGGGCAUCUUAGGCAAAGGGUGCAACCCUGACCCAGCAACGCCGCAUGAGUGAAGAAGGUUUUCGGAUCGUAAAGCUAAGUUGCAAAAGAACAAAGAGUGUGAGAGUGGAAAGUUCCCACUGUGCCGGUAACUUACAAGAAAGCGCCGGCAAACUACCUGCCAGCAGCCCCCGUACUACGUAGAUCCCGAGCCUCAUCCCGAUUUCCUGGGCGUAAAGCGAGCGCAGGCGGUUCGAUAAGUCAGAAGUUAAAGGCUGUGGCUUAACCAUAGUACGCUUUGGAAACUGUUUAACUUGAGUGCAGAAGGGGAGAGUGGAAUUCCAUAUGUAGCGGUGAAAUGCGUAGAUAUAUGGAGGAACACCGGUGGCGAAAGCGGCUCUCUGGUCUGUAACUGACGCUGAGGCUCGAAAGCGUGGGGAGCAAACAGG
rnacentral:rRNA from 1 species